rnacentral:rRNA from 1 species
GAUGAACGCUGGCGGCGUGCUUAACACAUGCAAGUCGAACGGUGAAGGCGGAGCUUGCUCUGCUGGAUCAGUGGCGAACGGGUGAGUAACACGUGAGCAAUCUGCCCCUGACUCUGGGAUAAGCGCUGGAAACGGCGUCUAAUACUGGAUACGAGCUGCGAAGGCAUCUUCAGCAGCUGGAAAGAAUUUCGGUCAGGGAUGAGCUCGCGGCCUAUCAGCUUGUUGGUGAGGUAAUGGCUCACCAAGGCGUCGACGGGUAGCCGGCCUGAGAGGGUGACCGGCCACACUGGGACUGAGACACGGUCCAGACUCCUACGGGAGGCAGCAGUGGGGAAUAUUGCACAAUGGGCGAAAGCCUGAUGCAGCAACGCCGCGUGAGGGACGACGGCCUUCGGGUUGUAAACCUCUUUUAGCAGGGAAGAAGCGAAAGUGACGGUACCUGCAGAAAAAGCGCCGGCUAACUACGUG